UACGUAGGGGGCGAGCGUUGUCCGAAGUUACUGGGCGUAAAGCGCGCGUAGGCGGCCUUGUCCGUCAGACGUGAAAUCCCCAGGCUUAACCUGGGAACUGCGUCUGAUACUACAAGGCUGGAGUUCGGGAGAGGAAUGUGGAAUUCCAGGUGUAGCGGUGAAAUGCGUAGAUAUCUGGAGGAACACCGGUGGCGAAGGCGGCAUUCUGGACCGAAACUGACGCUGAUGCGCGAAAGCCAGGGGAGCAAACGGG
rnacentral:rRNA from 1 species